rnacentral:rRNA from 1 species
GGCCAGACUCCUACGGGAGGCAGCAGUGGGGAAUAUUGCACAAUGGGGGAAACCCUGAUGCAGCGACGCCGCGUGAGUGAAGAAGUAUUUCGGUAUGUAAAGCUCUAUCAGCAGGGAAGAAAAUGACGGUACCUGAAGAAGAAGCCCCGGCUAACUACGUGCCAGCAGCCGCGGUAAUACGUAGGGGGCAAGCGUUAUCCGGAUUUACUGGGUGUAAAGGGGGCGCAGACGGCGAUGCAAGCCAGGAGUGAAAGCCCGGGGCCCAACCCCGGGACUGCUCUUGGAACUGCGUGGCUGGAGUGCAGGAGGGGCAGGCGGAAUUCCUGGUGUAGCGGUGAAAUGCGUAGAUAUCAGGAGGAACACCGGUGGCGAAGGCGGCCUGCUGGACUGCAACUGACGUUGAGGCCCGAAAGCGUGGGGAGCAAACAGGAUUAGAUACCCGAGUAUU